UGAGGACAGCACAUGAGAGCAUCAGAGCAGAGACAGACAGAGAGACAGACGGCAGAGAGACGGUCUACCUGGACGUCAUGGAUCACCUGUUGAUGCUGUUGCUGUUGCUGUGGAGCUCAGGACUCCAGGCUGAAGGAAAUCACACAUCAACAGAGUCUGUCAGGUUGGUGGGAGGAGACAGUCGCUGUGCAGGAACACUGG